UACGGAGGGGGCUAGCGUUGUUCGGAAUUACUGGGCGUAAAGCGCACGUAGGCGGCUUUGUAAGUUAGAGGUGAAAGCCCAGGGCUUAACCCUGGAAUUGCCUUUAAGACUGCAUCGCUAGAAUCGUGGAGAGGUGAGUGGAAUUCCGAGUGUAGAGGUGAAAUUCGUAGAUAUUCGGAAGAACACCAGUGGCGAAGGCGACUCACUGGACACGUAUUGACGCUGAGGUGCGAAAGCGUGAGGAGCAAACAGG
rnacentral:rRNA from 1 species